GACGAACGCUGGCGGCGUGCUUAACACAUGCAAGUCGAACGAGACGAUUGAAAGCUUGCUUUCGAAAGUCGAGUGGCAAACGGGUGAGUAACGCGUAGACAACCUGCCUUUGAGAUGGGGACAACAGUUCGAAAGGACUGCUAAUACCGAAUGUUGUAUAUUUUCCACAUGGAAGAUAUAUUAAAGAUGGCCUCUAUUUAUAAGCUAUCGCUCAAAGAUGGGUCUGCGUCUGAUUAGCUGGUUGGUGGGGUAACGGCCUACCAAGGCGACGAUCAGUAGCCGGUCUGAGAGGAUGAACGGCCACAUUGUGACUGAAACACGGCCCAGACUCCUACGGGAGGCAGCAGUGGGGAAUCUUCCACAAUGGACGAAAGUCUGAUGGAGCAACGCCGCGUGAGUGAAGAAGGGUUUCGGCUCGUAAAGCUCUGUUGUCGGGGACGAAUGUGCAGUAUUUGAAUAAAGUACUGCAAUGACGGUACCUGACGAGGAAGCCACGGCUAACUACGUGCCAGCCGCCGCGGUAA
rnacentral:rRNA from 1 species